GCUUCUCGGAGGCACUCACUAGGUGUCUGGCAUGGAGACUACAUAGGGAAAAAGCCCCUGCCCUCCAGAAGCUUCCAUUCAAUGGGGAAACCCAACAGGGCAUCGUUCAUUUGUUCGCCAGGCAAGCGUCAAGUGCCUGGUUUGUGCAAGGGCCUAGGAGAUUGGACGACAAAGACAAAGCUAGCCCUGUAUAUUCAGGAGCUCAGACAGCCUGUGAGCGGCUUUUCUCCUUGGUUUGAACACAUGGCACAGCAG